CAACAACAACAAAAGAAGGAGCAGCAGUCGGGGGACGGAGGAGGAAACGGACUGAAAGGGGGAGAAAGAAGAAGAAAAGAGGAGAAGCUGAAGCACACUGUGACUCCCGAUGAACAAUCCUUAAAUUAACGGCUUUUAUUUUAUUUCUUCCGAGAAGAAACCUCACGUUUUUCUAUUUUAUCGAAAAGGAACCAUCUACCUCAGUUUAAAGGAUUUAACCCGUUUACACCCUCCCUCUCUCUCUCUCUCUGCCGCAGGGCUCUUUUGUAUUUUUGCACUCGUUGAACCGACCCUGCCGUUGAGCGAUGUCCAGCCUGCGUCUGCUGACCCUCAGAUGAUCCAUGACCACACCUUAUUGAUGCACUUUAGCACCUUUCCGGAGCCUUCCCGCCGCCGUGAA